GGGGAUUUAGCUCAGUGGUAGAGCGCUUGCCUAGCAAGCACAAGGUCCUGGGUUCAGUCCCCAGCUCCG
rfam:Rattus norvegicus chromosome 3, whole genome shotgun sequence.